rnacentral:tRNA from 1 species
UGGGCUAUAGCCAAGCGGUAAGGCAACGGACUUUGACUCCGUCACUUGUUGGUUCGAAUCCAGCUAGCCCAGCCA